GGCCAUGGCUCAGUGGUAGAGCAUCUACUUGACAUGCAAAAGGUUUGCAGGUUCAAUCCUGGCCAUAUCCA
rnacentral:tRNA from 1 species